rnacentral:rRNA from 1 species
UACGUAGGGUGCGAGCGUUGUCCGGAAUUAUUGGGCGUAAAGAGCUCGUAGGCGGCUUGUCGCGUCGGAUGUGAAAGCCCCGGGGCUUAACCCCGGGUCUGCAUUCGAUACGGGCAGGCUAGAGUGUGGUAGGGGAGAUCGGAAUUCCUGGUGUAGCGGUGAAAUGCGCAGAUAUCAGGAGGAACACCGGUGGCGAAGGCGGAUCUCUGGGCCAUUACUGACGCUGAGGAGCGAAAGCGUGGGGAGCGAACAGG